rnacentral:rRNA from 1 species
AUUGAACGCUGGCGGCAGGCCUAACACAUGCAAGUCGAGCGGAUGAAGGGAGCUUGCUCCUGGAUUCAGCGGCGGACGGGUGAGUAAUGCCUAGGAAUCUGCCUGGUAGUGGGGGAUAACGUCCGGAAACGGGCGCUAAUACCGCAUACGUCCUGAGGGAGAAAGUGGGGGAUCUUCGGACCUCACGCUAUCAGAUGAGCCUAGGUCGGAUUAGCUAGUUGGUGGGGUAAAGGCCUACCAAGGCGACGAUCCGUAACUGGUCUGAGAGGAUGAUCAGUCACCCGGAAAUGAGAAAAGGUCCAGACACCGUACGGGAGGCAGCGGUGGGAAUAAUUGGACAUGGGGCAAAGGCCUAUACCGGCCAGGCGGCGUGUGGAAGAAAGUUCUUCGAUUGGUAAGGCACUUAAGUUUGGGGGGAGGGGAGUUAGGUUAAUCCCUUGCUUUUUGAACGUACCCAACGAAUAAGGCACGGCCAAAUUCGUU